rnacentral:misc_RNA from 1 species
AAAGUCGUAACAAGGUUUCCGUAGGUGAACCUGCGGAAGGAUCAUUAACUAUGCCACCCGGUGAGACCCGCCGGGAGGUGGUGUUAACCGCUCCUCUGCGCCGUACGGGCUGCCGCAAGGCAGCAGUUCGACGUGGAUCGAGUACCAACCCUCAUGUGAACCUUCUAUCUUCUGCUUCGGCAGCGCGGUCGACCCAGUCGGCCGGUAAGGCUGCCGAUAGCUCUUUAUAUUAAAACUAUUACAUGCUGUCUCAAUUGUGAAGUCUGAUCAUUGAUGAAUUUAAUUCAAGCAAAAGUUAAAACUUUCAGCAACGGAUCUCUUGGUUCCC